rnacentral:tRNA from 1 species
UCCCCCUUAGCUCAGUCGGUAGAGCGAGAGACUGUUAAUCUCCAGGUCCGAGGUUCGAGUCCUCGAGGGGGAG